rnacentral:rRNA from 1 species
GACGAACGCUGGCGGCGUGCUUAACACAUGCAAGUCGAACGAUGAAGAAAAGAAUCGAAGCUUCGGCAGAAAUUCAUUUCGGAUUAGUGGCAGACGGGUGAGUAACGCGUGAGCAACCUACCUCUUACAAAGGGAUAGCCUCGGGAAACCGGGAUUAAUACCAUAUAACAUUGUGACGAAGCAUUUCGAUGCAAUCAAAGCUACGGCGGUAAGAGAUGGGCUCGCGUCCCAUUAACCGGAUGGUGAGGUAACGGCUCACCAUAGUGACGAUGGGUAACCGGCCUGAGAGGGUGAACGGUCACACUGGAACUGAGACACGGUCCAGACUCCUACGGGAGGCAGCAGUGGGGAAUAUUGCACAAUGGAGGGAACUCUGAUGCAGCGACGCCGCGUGAGUGAUGAAGGAAUUCGUUUCGUAAAACUCUGCUCUAGGGGAAGAAAAGGACUGUACCAUAGGAGAAAACUCCGGCUAAAUACGU